GUAAAUAUAUUAGAAGUGAUUGUGUUCAUUAGUACAACCUAAGUAGAUUGGAAAAACCAAUUAAUAGCAAUUUACUAUAAGAGUCUCUAACUGACUUCUUGAAAGUAUUUAUCCUGAAGUGCAAGUCAUUUGAUUUAGUUAAUGUUUAUUAUAUAUGCAGAUCUUCCAGGGAAAAUGUAUUUUUGAGUACUCCAGACAAUUGAAACUAGUGAGCCCACUGUCUGGGGAAAGCAUCUGUAACCGCAGCCAAAAGAGGAACAAGAUUUCCGACGUUGUUUCAAGACAUGCGUUUGAAGCAUGGGUUCCCAUCACUUUCAGAGCAAGGGGUUAUCACAGGCCAGCUGACAGAGUGGAAAGCAGAGCAGUAAGAAUGGGAGUAAACCAAGAUUUUAUACUGAAUUUUGUACUGGUGUGGAUGAAGAGCAACCGCCAAUUCUGAUAGACUAUUGUGCAUGUAUAGACAGACAUAGCCCAGAGUUGUGGCAGCCAUUAAUAGAUCAGGCAAGCCCUUGCAGCUGUGUUUUGAUCAGCAGAAAGGUUUUUGGCAUCCAAGAGCUGAAAUCCCCUUUUGGGUAUGACAAGUGCAUCGAAGUACCUAGCAAGUUAAAAUCAAGGGUUUCUGUGAGGAGGGAGUAAGAACACCUACCACAAAAAAUUAAGGGUAAGAUAACCUUUAAUAAUCUCUACAAUGCAAACCCAAUUGUAUGUGUUGCAUUUAAUUGGCAUUUAGCCAUCUAUCAUUUGCUGGCUCAUAAAGCUGAUUUGUGCUCUUUCCUCCUGUCCCUUUUUCCUGGAGCUGCUGGCCUCUUUUCACCACGCCUUUCCCAUAGGCACAUACAUGGGAUCUACACAUUCUUUUGUCUCUUCCUCUGGAACGCUGCUUUUUAUCAUGUGGGGAAAGGGAGUUUUGUGAGCAGCUUUCUUUCUUCUUUAUUGUUGAAUGCCACUUAUAAACUCUGUCACUAGACUCUUGGAAGGUAUCUAAAAUGCUAGACAAGGAAACAGGUAUAAUUCAGAGGAAAACUGACCUUGAUUGAAUAGGGUCAAAAUGCUUCAACUACCUCUUUCAUUUGAAACUCCUCAUUUAUAGACUCACGCUUCUUUCACCGUAGCUUGAGGGUUGACAUAAAUAUAUGUGGGAUGUGUGUUAGUCUUAAAGAUAGGAAGCUCAGCUAGAUUUAGUGAAUUCUGCAACUAAUCAAACUCUUUGUGAAAAACACACAAUUUCUCCCCUAGAGUUGUAAGACUGUGAUUAUUGAGAACACCAAAAUUUGUUUCUUUGUUUAUUUUCAGAAAACCACUUUGGGCAUUCCCCAGGUAUUAAGAUGUAAUAGACAAGUUAAAGCUCCAACUGCUAAUUGCCAGGUCCAGUUGUACAUGUUAAUCAGGCUUCUGAGGAAACACAAAAGGUACUAACCUCUAAGUUAUCUGUCUAAAAAAAAUUGAACAUUCAC
rnacentral:lncRNA from 1 species